AUGGCAUCUUCUACUCUAAAACCAGGUGUGCCUAUUACUUUGCAAGAGCUAGAGCCCUCCUCAGAGAUGCUCAAGCAAGGGGCAUCCCUCCGGGUAACAGGAAUCCUUCAGUCAUAUGAUGUGGACUCUGCAGUUGCUGUCAUUCAAGAUGGCAGUGCUAGACUGAAGAUUGAUACUCAAAACCUGAGAGACAUUAGUUUCCGCAGCAAUUCCACGUUCCAGUUCAUCGGUGAACUCCUGAUCCAGCCAAACAACGAUGCGAUUCUGCAAGCACGUGUGGGCAGGAAUGUUGAUGGACUUGACCUGAACCUCUACCAGCAGUCUUUGAUCAUCCGACGGCAACAUGAAGCCAAACUACUAAGCUCCAGGAGGCCAUGA
rnacentral:rRNA from 1 species